GAUGAACGCUGACAGUAUGCUUAACACAUCAGCAAUUGCUUGGUGGCGGACGGGUGAGUAACGCGUAAAGAACUUGCCUCACAGCUAGGGACAACAUUUGGAAACGAAUGCUAAUACCUAAUUCUGUUAGAGAGCUUUGCGUCCCAUUAGCUAGUUGGAGAGGUAACGGCUCAACAAGGAGAUGAUGGGUAGCCGGCCUGAGAGGGUGAUCGGCCAAAAGGGGACAGAGAAACGGCCAUUACUCCAACGGGAGGCAGCAGUGGGGAAUAAUGGACAAUGGAACAAAGUGUGAUCAAGCAAUUCUGAGUGCAAGAUGAAGUUUUCGAAAUGUAAAGUGCUUUAAGUUGGGAAGCGGUACAAACAGAAGAAGUGACGGCUAAAUACGUGCCAGCCGCCGCGGUAAUAC
rnacentral:rRNA from 1 species